CCGCCCUUGGUGCGGACGCGGUGGCCGAGGUUGCCGAUCUCGUAAUCCGUAUCGGAGUUGGUCGGCAGUUCGACGCUGUCGAGCCGGA
rnacentral:tRNA from 1 species